UACGUAGGGUGCAAGCGUUGUCCGGAAUUAUUGGGCGUAAAGAGCUCGUAGGCGGUUCGUCGCGUCGGCUGUGAAAUCCCGAGGCUCAACCUCGGGUCUGCAGUCGAUACGGGCGGACUGGAGUACUGCAGGGGAGACUGGAAUUCCUGGUGUAGCGGUGAAAUGCGCAGAUAUCAGGAGGAACACCGGUGGCGAAGGCGGCAUCCUGGACCGGCAUUGACGCUGAACAGCGAAAGCUAGGGGAGCAAACGGG
rnacentral:rRNA from 1 species